ACUGCUCAGUAACACGUGGAUAACCUACCCUCAGGUGGGGGAUAACCCCGGGAAACUGGGGAUAAUACCCCAUAGACCAGGGACGCUGGAAUGCCCCCUGGUCGAAAGGUCCGCCGCCUGAGGAUGGGUCUGCGGCCGAUUAGGUUGUUGUUGGGGUAACGGCCCAACAAGCCUUUGAUCGGUACGGGUUGUGAGAGCAAGAGCCCGGAGAUGGAUUCUGAGACACAAAUCCAGGCCCUACGGGGCGCAGCAGGCGCGAAAACUUUACAAUGCGAGAAAUCGUGAUAAGGGAACCCCGAGUGCCCGUAAAUUCGGGCUGUCCAUCAGCGUAAAAAACUGGUGAAGAAAGGGCCGGGCAAGACCGGUGCCAGCCGCCGCGGUAAUACCGGCGGCUCGAGUGGUGGCCACUAUUACUGGGCUUAAAGCGUCCGUAGCUGGAUUGUUAAGCCUCUUGGGAAAUCCGCCGGCCUGACCGGCGGACGUUCAGGAGAAACUGGUAAUCUAGGGACCGGGAGAGGUGAGAGGUACUCCAGGGGUAGGAGUGAAAUCCUGUAAUCCUUGGGGGACCACCUGUGGCGAAGACGUCUCACUAGAACGGCUCCGACAGUGAGGGACGAAAGCUGGGGGAGCAAACCGGAUUGGAUACCCGGGUAGUCCCAGCUGUAAACGAUGCGCGUUAGGUGUAUCGGUGACCACGAGUCAUCGAGGUGCCGAAGGGGAACCGUGAAACGUGCCGCCUGGGAAGUACGGUCGCAAGGCUGAAACUUAAAGGAAUUGGCGGGGGAGCAC
rnacentral:rRNA from 1 species